GCCUGGGUGGCUCAGUUGGUUGAGCGUCUGACUCUUGGUUUCAUCUCAGGUCGUGAUCUCAGGAGUCAUGGGAUCGAGCCCCACACCAGGCU
rnacentral:tRNA from 1 species